UGGGGAAUUUUGGACAAUUGGGCGAAAGCCUGAUCCAGCAAUGCCGCGUGUGUGAAGAAGGCCUUCGGGUUGUAAAGCACUUUUGUCCGGAAAGAAAUCCUUGGCUCUAAUACAGUCGGGGGAUGACGGUACCGGAAGAAUAAGCACCGGCUAACUACGUGCCAGCAGCCGCGGUAAUACGUAGGGUGCAAGCGUUAAUCGGAAUUACUGGGCGUAAAGCGUGCGCAGGCGGUUUGCUAAGACCGAUGUGAAAUCCCCGGGCUCAACCUGGGAACUGCAUUGGUGACUGGCAGGCUAGAGUAUGGCAGAGGGGGGUAGAAUUCCACGUGUAGCAGUGAAAUGCGUAGAGAUGUGGAGGAAUACCGAUGGCGAAGGCAGCCCCCUGGGCCAAUACUGACGCUCAUGCACGAAAGCGUGGGGAGCAAACAGGAUUAGAUACCCUGGUAGUCCACGCCCUAAACGAUGUCAACUAGUUGUUGGGGGAUUCAUUUCCUUAGUAACGUAGCUAACGCGUGAAGUUGACCGCCUGGGGAGUACGGUCGCAAGAUUAAAACUUAAAUGAAUUGACGGGGUCAUAGCUGUUUCCU
rnacentral:rRNA from 1 species